UUAAUGCUUAAUCUGUGGGGAGGUUGUAAGCAUUCAAUUAAAAAUGUGUAUGUGAUCAUCUCGAAUGGUGCUAGGGCACGCAGUGGGCAGUAAGAGACAAAUGCUCCCUGUUUCUCUAUGUUUACUAUUGGAGACUUAGAAUUCCAAGCUGGAAGGAACGUGUCUUUGCUUGCAGAAGUCUUAAACGUCUGCCAAAGUCCUCUCUGAAAUGUUUUUGGAGCGGAACUUCACAGAUCUUGAGCUCUUGGAAGAGUCCUUAUUGAUCAUACUUGGGUAUCUCCUGGAGAACUUCAAUAAGUGCUUGUUGAACUGAUUGGAUACUUCAGCCCCCGGUGGUGGGGGGUCUCACAUAGCCUUCUCUGGCACUGGCUCAACUUUGGACCAUUUCCCUACAUCUUCUUGUCUUCCUGGCCAGGGCAAUAUACCCCAGGUUCUGAAAUCCAGGCAAUGAAGAUGGUGGAGGAAGAGGAAAAAGUAGAAAAGAGAGAUACCUAUUAGUUUUAUCAUAUCGUGGUUUAAAGUAUCAACUUGGUUAUUUCUUAAAAAUGGACUCCACUAUAAAGAGCAAUUAUGACUGUAAACGUAGAUCCCAAGGCUCUUGGCAUUAGUGUACCCAAACUGGAAUGUGUUUGGAAGACUAUGUAGCUCAAGGGCUUAUUCCUGAAAUUUCUUCUCAGUGGGUAUAGUUUGUCAAAAAUAUUAUUUUCUUCAUUCAAUAAUUUUUGUUCUACCUAACAAGCAUUUUUUUUUUUUUUGCAAAAUAUGGGGAUAUCAUCAUCAACAUUCCGUGCAUGCAUGCAUCUCUUUGUGGUUACAAAAUACUUUUUAACUAUGUCACCUUGAGCUUCAAAUCCCCUGGGGAAGAAGACAGAGGAAUAUUUACAGCAUUUGGAUCAUGGAGAAACUAUAGCACGGAGCAGGGAGAUGAUUUGCUUUCAAGCACAAGCAGGCUGGGACCCAAGUGGGUACUUGAAUCAGAACCCCAAGCUCACAGGCCUGUGGUCUCGGUGCUCAGACACAUUCUCCCAGCACAGCCUCAUCUCCACGCCAGGAGAUCAAGACAGACCGUCGGGUCCUGGCCUAGUCUUGCAGUAGUCCUGAAUUCCUAUCCUUUCCUUCUUGAAUAGCUUUAGUCAGAGAAAUUUAGAGUAGGGGGUAGUUUUCUUGAUUUCUUUUUUAAAAACAAGGCUCAGUUCAUUAGCAGUCAGAUACAUAGAAAUAAUGAAACGAUUUAAAGCCAGUUUGUGCAUUUUUAAAAGUUCUCACAAGGGGAAUAAUGGACCUGAAAUUCCUUUAGUACCAGAAAGGACAUGUUUUAUAAAACAUCUGCCCAUCCAAAGGACAUUUUUACUUUUAAUCUUUGGUCUCUCUGAGAUACCACAGAAGGUUGCUGCAGAUUCUUUCUGAGCAGUGAGGGACUAAACUGUGGUGAUAGGACGAUACCUGUGGCUACCUCCCUGCUGCGCUUGCUGUCCUCCUGUCCCUCAGACCCAGCCUUGGUGGUCUGCUCCCCACCAAGAGGAAGAAGAAAUGGACAACUGCACCAUCACGCAGAAUGGGCUGUGGCAGCAUCUCAUUUUGGGAACCAAUGAAUUCAAGAUGGUAGAAAUAGCAAAAUAUUGAAUUUCUUUCAGUUUUAAGAUGAUUAAUUUUCUCAUGGGUAAUCGGCCUCCUGAAAAAUCUUUUAUGACAAUACAGUGAAAAUCAGUCUACGAAAGAUGGAAGAAACCCCUACUUAAAUAAUAAACAAACGAGACUGUUAGAUACGGGUGGAGUUAGGUAAAACAUACACUUGUACAUUAAAAUUGGUGUAAUAUUAACUGGAGGAUAGUGUGACUAAAUAUACUUCAUGUGCCUGUUAAGUAUGUAUGUUUUAAGAGAAAUUUUAAGACUUAUACCCAUAAAGAUAUUUAUGAAAAUGUUUCCAGAAAGAGCAAAAAGCUGGAAAUGAUUGAAAUGAGUUAUAACAGGAGGACUGGUUACUAAGUUGAAAUGUAGCUAUUAAAAAUAAUAAUGGGAGUCUAUUCAGACCUUAGUCUUCAGACUAAAAAUGUUAAUGACAGAGGUGCAUGCAAUAGAAUUAUUGGAGCAUAUGCUGUGAUUGAACUUAUAAAAAUAUUGUCUUGCUGGGUGCAGUGGUGCAUACCUCUAGUCCCGGUGGCUCCGGAGGCUGAGGCAGGGGAAUCAUGAGUUCAAAGCCAGCCUUAGCAACUUGGUGAGGCCCUAAGCAACUUAGUGAGACCCUGUCUCUAAAUAAAAUAUAAAAAGGAACUGGGGAUGUGGCUCAGUGGUUAAGCGCCCAUGUGUUCAAUUCCUAGUACCAGGAAAAAAAAAAAUUGUCUCCAUGUGAACCAGGACGAGAAAAAGAAAAUAGCAUGUUGGAAUGGAGGCAGGGGGGCAAAAAAAUACAUACGUGUUUAUUUGCAUUUCCUGAAAUUAUUUAUCAGUGUACAAAAGUAAGAAACCACUUUUGUUAUGUAUAUUGUGAUCUUUGAAUGAAAUAAUUUGAAUAUAAAAUAUGUUCAAUCUGUGUCUUAGGAUUUAUUAAAAUAAAUUGAUAGCCAAAAAAAGUGAUGAAGAUUCUUAUACAUUAUAUAAAGAACACAGAAUAACAACAGGGAAAUAUAUGCCUGCUACCUUAAUGUAUCAGAUCUGAGUAUUUGCUUCAUGUUUCAAAAAGAUAUAGAACAUUACAGACACGAUUAAAGCCCCUUGGGUCCAAAAAAAAUUUUGAAAAUUUUGUUUAACAUCUUAAUUAUUUCUGCUUACACUAUAUUUUAAUAUUAGUCAUUUUCAGAAGGCAGAAUCAAUAGGUUUUGGUUUCUCAGCUUAGAUUAGGGCUUUGUAGGUACGUGGCUCGGUAUGCAGAUACUGAAUUUCUCAGUAUAGACACUGGGGCUAGGACCUUAAGUUAUCUGAUCCUUGGUUUCCUUAAGUAUGAAACCAGGGGGAAGGGAUCCAGCCUAUCUCAGAAGAUAAGCACAAAAUGAAUAGUAUCUUAGAGGUUACCAUAAGAAGAAUUCCAGAGGAGAGUUGGCCAGGCAACCAGGGGAAAAGCUUUGCCGGCAUAAAGAACAGCUGGAACAAAAGCCCAGAGGCAUGGCCUAGGGAAAAUGGCGGGGAUCUCAGCUCGCAGGACAGUGGAAAGAAGAGGUCACCUGGCUCAACGGGCUUCUCGAAGCUCUGCUCUCCAGUGUGGGUCCAGCAGCAGCAGCCUUUCCCGUGUUCUUGUGUCUUCUUGCUCCUUUCUCUGCCUUUCAAGACCAACUGUGUUCUUCAGUGGAGACUCCACGGAGCCUACUGUGGCAGUGUUUGUCCCUACCUGCUUCCUCCACCAGACAGAUGGCCCUCUGAUUUAGACAUCUUCCCCCACACCUAGCCUGGAGGCAGCACCUCAGUCCAGGAUUGUUCCAUAGUAAACGGGGAGGUGGGAGGAGGGCAAAGGCUCUUGCAGGCACCAAUCCUCAGACAUCUCACAGAAGUAGGCAUGCUCCUUGAUCCCACAGGAAGGAGGAGUACUUUAAGUACUGUUUUCAAAAAUGGUCCACACAAUCAAUCAUUGGAACACGUUCAAAGAAGGAAAGAAGGGAGGAUGAAGGAGACCGUGCAGGUCAUCCAGCGGUAUCCUCGGGGUGGAGGCAUCCCCCUCCUCAGUCCAGCCCAGCUAAACUUGCCCUGCUCCCCCUUCUGCUCCCCACAUGUUGCAUCUUUCCUGAAACUUUGGGACCCAAUCCUGAUCAUGUCUCUCUGUGGAAUGUUCAGGCUCUGGGAUUCAGAAAAACCAAAAAUUAAUGGAAGUUGUCCUACUGCUGAUGCCAACCAGAGAUUGUCCACUGGGUAAGAUCCUGGUCAGAGCCCAAGUUUUAAAAUCAGGGAAAUCCUCAUGUCAAUAGGAACUGGAUAGAGAAUAGAGAGUCCUGAAGUUCACAUCUGGUGGCUAUCAACUGUGGCAUAACCAACCGUCCCCAGACUUACCUGAAAUAGUAUAAACCUUGAUUUUGCUUAUAAAUUGAUAAUCUGGGUGGUGCUCAAUGCAGGCAGUCCUAACGGACACUGCUUUAGAUUUCUGGGGUCUUACCCAAAGGAUCAGCCUCAUAGUGUCAUUCUAGAUUUUAUGUUAGGCUGAAGUCUCUUUCUUCCUUUUUUUUAAUAUUUAUUUUUUAGUUAUAGGUGAACACAAUAUCUUUAUUUUAUUUUAUUUUUAUGUGGUGCUGAGGAUAGAACCCAGUGCCUCAUGCAUGCUAGGUGAGCGCUCUACCUGUGAACCACAACCCCAGCCCCUGAAGUCUCUUUCUUAAUUUGAGAAUUGCUUGCCAUCUGGGAAGACUUGGGAAUGAAAAACACUUUGAUAUUUCCAUCUAGUAAGUUCUGGUUUCUUGAACUCAUUUCUCCUUUUGCAUUUUAUCAUAGCUAGUGAGAAAAGUCAGGUGGCACUUUCAAUAUUGUGCCUGGAAAUCUUCUAAGCUAGAUCAUCAAAAUUACUAGGUACCUUCCUCUGUUUGGUGUUACUCUAGGCUACAGUGUGGCCAAACUUUCUGCCACUAUAAAACAAAGAUUCCCUUUACUUUGAGAUUCCUGUAACAUUCCAUGGAUGUUAUAGAUUCUCAUAACAUUUUUGGGGGGUGGGGGGAAUACCAAGAAUUGAACCCAGAGACCCUUAACCACUGAAUCACAUCCCUAGUCCAUUUUUUAAAAAAAAUGUAGUUUAUUUUAAUUUGAGAUAAGGCCUCACUAAGUUGUUUAGGGUCUUGCAAUCUGUUGCUGAGGCUGGCUUUGAACUUCUGAUCCGCCUGCCUCAGUUUCCCAAGCCACUGACUAGGAUUACAGGUGUGUGCCACCAUGCUCAGCUCCUACAGCAUUUUCUGUAUGUUCUCAUUGGUAGACUUCUCAAGUCCCUCCAGGCUUUUGCUAACAUUCUCUUUGAGGUCCUUUAGGCUGCCUGGUCCCAAAGCCAAUGUCAUUCAUUUUAGAAUUUUAUGACAGUAACUGACCUCUGGGUACAAUUACUUAUUGAGGUUAUCCAUUGCUGCAUAACAAUCUACCCCAAACUUGUCUUAAGACAACAGUUAUCAAUUUUACUCAUCUGAACAGUCUCAGCAGAGUCAGCUGAUUUCUGUGACAUGUGGCAUCAACUGGUGGCUUGGCUGGGCAGGAGAAUCCACCUCAAAAGGGUUCACUUCCAUGCUGGCAUUUUGAGGUUGAUGGUUGCUUCCUCUCUCUGGGGGCCUCCCAAUGGGACAGACUGGACUUUCUCACUGGAGAUUGGGUUUUAAGAAUAAGCACCCGGAGGACUCACACGGAAGCAGCCAGUUUCCAUUGGCCAGGCAGUCACAGAGAACGAACGAACGUUUCAAAGUCACAUCUUAAGAGGAACAUGUGGGAUGGAAUGUAUUGCUAGAAUCAACUUUGAACAAUACAAUCUGCCACAGAAUUCUUGUUCUUAGAAGUUUGGAUUAUGGUUUAUAGCCACUGGGGGGCUGUAACUAUCAAUUCCCAACAUGAUCAUUGAGUUUUAUGCUUCCUGAAUGUGUUUGUGACCCAGAAAUAAAGCUGACUGCACCCAG